rnacentral:rRNA from 1 species
AUUGAACGCUGGCGGCAUGCCUAACACAUGCAAGUCGAACGGCAGCACGGUCUAGCUUGCUAGAUGGGUGGCGAGUGGCGAACGGGUGAGUAACGCGUAGGAAUAUACCUUAGAGAGGGGGAUAACUUGGGGAAACUCAAGCUAAUACCGCAUACUAUCUAUGGAUAAAAGCUGGGGACCUUAGGGCCUGGCGCUUUAAGAAUAGCCUGCGUCCGAUUAGCUAGUUGGUGGGGUAAGGGCCUACCAAGGCGACGAUCGGUAACUGGUCUGAGAGGAUGGUCAGUCACACUGGAACUGAGACACGGUCCAGACUCCUACGGGAGGCAGCAGUGGGGAAUAUUGGACAAUGGGGCAACCCUGAUCCAGCAAUGCCGCGUGUGUGAAGAAGGCCUGAGGGUUGUAAAGCACUUUCAGUGGGGAGGAGGAUAUAAAGGUUAAGAGCUAUUAUAUUGGACGUUACCCACAGAAGAAGCACCGGCUAACUCCGUGCCAGCAGCCGCCGUAA